rnacentral:misc_RNA from 1 species
GAUGAAGAACGCAGUGAAAUGCGAUAAGUAAUGCGAAUUGCAGAAUUCCAGUGAGUCAUCGAAUCUUUGAACGCACAUUGCGCCCUUUGGUAUUCCGAAGGGCAUGCCUGUUCGAGCGUCAUUAUCACCCCUCAAGCCCUCGGCUUGGUGUUGGACGGUUUGGUGGAGGCCCCCUCGGGGGCUCCUGCCCCUCCCAAAGACAAUGACGGCGGCCUCGUUGGACCCCCGGUACACUGAGUUCUUCACGGGACACGUAUCGGACACAUGGGUUUACGGGACACGGUCUGCCUCCCCUCAGGGAGAAUCUUUCUAAGGUUGACCUCGGAUCAGGUAGGGAUACCCGCUGAACUUAAGCAUAUCAAUAAGCGGAGGA